UACGUAGGUGACCAGCGUUGUCCGGAUUUACUGGGCGUAAAGAGCGCGCAGGCGGUCGUUCAAGUCGCGUGUGAAAGCCCCCGGCUCAACUGGGGAGGGUCACGCGAUACUGAUCGACUCGAAGGCAGGAGAGGGUAGUGGAAUUCCCGGUGUAGUGGUGAAAUGCGUAGAUAUCGGGAGGAACAUCAGUGGCGAAGGCGGCCCUCUGGACCAGCACUGACGCUGAGGCACGAAAGCGUGGGGAGCAAACAGG
rnacentral:rRNA from 1 species